AGCCACGUCAGCUUUUGAAGGGGACUAGCUCAGGUCUGAUGCUCAGAAAAACAGCUUUUACAGGGGUUGGAAGGGAUAGGAAGGUUGGUUCACAGGAAGCCAAGGGGAAACAGAAAGUGUUGGAGGCUACCAGCUGAUCUGCAAGGCUCCCUUUGAUGCCAGCUGUUACCCUGGAGCCUGGACCCUUGCUCCAAGGACAGGUGCAGGAAGGAAAGGUGCAGCUCCAGGACCACUCAAGGAGCUGUUCCUGCAACACAGACCAUCUCCCUGUUCCUUGAACUUAAGCUUUCUUCUACCUCAGGACCUUUGCAUGGAAUGUUCCCUUUGCCUGAAACACCGUUUCCACAGAUAUCAUGAAGCAAGUCCCACAUUUCCUCCUCACCUUUGUCAAAUGUCAUCUUACCUGAGGCCUUACUUGACCACCCUAUAUCCUUUAUUCUGUUUUUUUCACUAUAGUACUUUUCAUUAUCUAAAAUAUGAUGUACUUACCUAUUGGUCUGUCUCCUCUCAUCAUUAACAUAAGCUCCAUGAGGGCAGGGACUUGAUGGGUCUUGUUCAUUGCUGCUACUAGAAACACAGUAGACAGUAAGUAUUUGUUGAACAAAUAAACAAAUAGAAAUAUAUUCUUAUUAAAUGGUUUAUUCUGGGCAUGUGAGGAGAGAUGAGAGGGGACUUUUCACUUUUUACUGGGUACUCCUAUAUAUCAUUAGAUGUAGUUUAUCAAGGGCUAACAUCACAUUUGUAUUUUACAAAAUCAAUUGGGUAAUUUUUUUAAGUCUCAUUUCCAAAUUUACUGUCUUGUCUGUUAAUACCUGUUUGAAGAGAAAUCAUAUGGCAGGUGUCAAGUGAUUAAGAACAACCGGAACCUAAGGAAGAUUUUUACCUGAAAGGAGUUUUACCAAUUCCCUGUAAAUUGGGAAAAUAUUUAUAUUGUUCUGUUUUGUAUUUGUGCUGUUUUAUUUUAGCAGAAUAUCCAGGCCCACUUUGUGGUUUGUCUCAAGUACACAGCAGCAUGAUUCUGUCCAGAUGGGGAGGCCUGGAAUCAAGAGCAAUCCCCAGUGCUAAAUAGGGUGACGGAGGAGGCCAUGGCUUGAAUGUUUGUCAAAGCGUGAGGGACAUAAACUGAUCAAAAAGGGAAACUGAAUGUGAAACCUUUUAUUUAAACAACACUAAGCCAGUUCCUUUAAAGCAAAACUGCUUGGAGCCUUUAAUUACCUAGUACACGUUAUUAAGUGUCCAGGAGGGAGGUAACAGGCAACUUCCUGAGCUCUUGGGGUCUCAGCAUCCUUUUCACAGUGGUUGCUAUAUUUGGAGGACAAAUUUUGGGAAACAUUGAAAUUAAAGAUUUUCUGAGGUAAAGGAGAAAUUUUUCCUAUUCCUUAGGAGUCUUGCCUGGUAAGAAAAGUAGGUGCUAGAAUGAAUUAUAGGGGUUGACUGAGAUCUACAGGCUGGAGAGUGAACUUUGCCACUCAGCUUCUGUGAACCAGAGGGGAGACAGGAUGGUCAUGGGAUGACGAAAGCAUGAAAACAGGCAAAACCCCAAGAUAUUUCCCUGUUAAUACUAUUGCAUUAAGAUCCUUGCCCCCCCGUUUUGUCUAAAGCGUCUGUUUGGAAUUGACUGAGCCUAGUUCAAGGGGAGCCAUGGCUUGCCCAGAUUAUUUGAGAAACAGCUAGAGUGUAACUGAAAUGAAGUGUGGAUACUCAGGAAGUAUCAUGAGAUGUAGUUUCUAGAAGCCCUGGGGACCCAUAGAGAAUGAAACAGCAACUUGUGCAAAGUAAGUUUAUUCUAUCCAAUUUGGAGCAGUCUGUCUUCAAGACAGAAUUAGAGUGCUGGCUCUUGAACAGGGGCUGCUUGUGAACGACGUUGAUGCUCUUGUGAGAGACCAGUCGUCUGGGAAGCCUAUGGGCAGAGUUGAACAAAUACCUAGAAAGGAGUUGACAUACACCUCCCUUCAUGACCACCCCUUUAUUCUUCUGAAGCAAGCAAUAUUAUACUGGGGCCCAGUCUUCCUGUGUUUACCCACACCUACAUCUUUUUUCCUAUGGUAUUUUUCACUGUCUUGAAUAUUGUUCCAUGCCAGUUCCUAUCUCCAUUCUGUUUAACUGCAUUAUCAUAAUUACUCUCUUCGAAGGGCAAUUAGGUCACUUCCAA